AUUUGUUUUGUCUUCAACAGGAGGGCGCUGUAGAGUUCGCCCGGGACUCCGCAAAGGAAUCCAUCACAGCUGCCGAACAGUGCGAUAACGCAAUGUACUACAUGCAUUCCACGAUGAUCUUAGCAGUCUGUCUGACAAAACUUCAGGACUACGACGGUGCUAAAGCAAAGUUCGAAAGAGCUCUUCUCGUGGCAGAAGCUAUAAAUGACUAUCGGAGUGAGAAGUCAAUCAGAGACGCCCUGGCGGAGUUAGAGGUGAAAAUCGCCACAAAAGUCUCCGAAAAUGAGCAAGAAAAUCAAGGAGAGUUUUGAAAAUGAAAAGAAAAGGGAACUGAACAUACAUACGCUGGGCUUGAGAUGAGCAGUGAAGAGUUUUUAAUACUUUUUUGUCAAUGUAUUAUCAUUAGGUCAAGAGUGUUUCUCAUGUAUUGUUUAUUGCUUUGACUUAUUUCUAAAGAAGAAAUUAUACAACCGCCCUGCAAAAUGAGCACCAAUUGUAAUAUGUUAUGUACUUAACUGCAUCAUUUGAAUUUCAUUAUCAUGCAAUGCCUUUUGACUGCCCUUCACCUUUAGAGAGAUUUGAAGUAGAUAGAGAAAAUGUAUAAACGAUUUGUAUUAUGUUAGCUAAUUUGUCACCUUUGAUAUAAGUAUGUAAAGUAUUUUUUUUUGGAUAAACUAUUCUUUUCUGUAAUAAAACCCCACACUUAUGUCUGUUGACGAUUUGAUAGAGAACACAUUACUGUAUUCUUAAUGCUUUGGUUUGUAAGACUUUGGUUUAUGGGUAUUUGUGUAUGUGUACAUAUUAUGAUCCUGUUCCCCUGUCUGAGAAUAUUAAACGAAUAUGAAGAAA